rnacentral:misc_RNA from 1 species
GAUGAAGAACGUAGCGAAAUGCGAUACGUAAUGUGAAUUGCAGAUUUCAGUGAAUCAUCGAAUCUUUGAACGCACAUUGCGCCCCAUGGUAUUCCGUGGGGCAUGCCUGUUCGAGCGUCAUUUACCCCCUCAAGCUCCGCUUGGUGUUGGGCGUCUGUCCCGCUUCGCGCGCGGACUCGCCCCAAAGGUAUUGGCAGCGGUCGUGCCAGCUUCUCGCGCAGCACAUUGCGCUUCUCGAGGCACCGGUGGGCCCGCGUCCAUCAAGCUCACCCCCCCAGUUUGACCUCGGAUCAGGUAGGGAUACCCGCUGAACUUAAGCAUAUCAAUAAGCGGAGGAU